ACUAGUACCGUGAGGGAAAGCUGAAAAGCACCCCUGGCAGGGGGUGAAAAGAGCCUGAAACCAGGCGGUGAUAGUUGGGUGCGGCUCGAAAGGGUCGAGUCUCCCCGAAGGAAAACCCUGUGAGGGGUGAGUACGAGGGGAGAGGACCGGAGUCGCACCGUCCGUCUUGAAACACGGGGCAGGGAGUUCAUCCGAGCGGCGAGGUUAAGGGGUGGAACCCCGGAGCCGUAGGGAAACCGACAGGUCCGCACCGUUUGGGAGGGACGGGGUGUGAAAGCGCCUGGAGUCGCUCGGAUGAGACCCGAAGCCGGUCGAUCUAGCCCGGGGCAGGGUGAAGUCCCUCACCAGAGGGAUGGAGGCCCGUUAGGGGUGCUGAUGUGCAAUUCGCUCCCGUGACCUCGGGCUAGGGGUGAAAGGCCAAUCGAGGCCGGAGAUAGCUGGUUCCCCCCGAAUUAUCCCGUAGGAUAGCCCGGGGCGAGGUUGGUGGUGGGGUAGAGCACUGAUUGGGUGUUUAGGGGGCGAGAGCCCUCGGCACCCUGUCAAACUCCGAACCUACCACCGCCGUAGACCCCCGGAGUAGGGUGACGGUGUAAGCCGUUGGCCGAAAGGGAAAGAACCCAACCCGGGGUUAAGGCCCCUAAGUGCCGGCUAAGUAUGACCUAAAGGGUGUCCUUGGCCUUAGACAGCGGGGAGGUAGGCUUAGAAGCAGCCAUCCUUUAAAGAGUGCGUAACAGCUCACCCGUCGAGGUCAGGGGCCCCGAAAAUGGACGGGGUUCAAGCCGGCCGCCGAUACCCCGGCGGGCGGAGUGUUUGCUCCGUCAUCGGGUAGGGGGGCGUACCGGUGGGGUGGAAGGCGGGCUGUGAAGUCCGCUGGACCCGUCGGUAUUGUGGAUCCUGCCGGGAGUAGCAGCAUAGCCGGGUGAGAAUCCCGGCCGCCGUAGGGGCAAGGGUUCCACGGCAAUGUUCGUCAGCCGUGGGUUAGUCGGUCCUAACCCGGCCCUUAACUUGGUGCUGGGGAAAGGGAAACGGGUUUAUAAUCCCGUACCGCGGUGGUAGGUGCGGUAACGCAAGCCCGGAGGGUGACGCCUCGGGGUAGGUGGACGUAAGCUAAGCGUUCAAGCCCGGGGAGUACUGUAAUAGUGAGAACCGGGUGAAGGCGUGAUGGGCCUCCCGUUAGGGGGGUUCUGCCGAUCCCUGGGGCCCGUGAAAAGCCUUCCGGGAGCGAUCCACCGCGACCGUACCGAGAACCGACACUGGUGCCCCUGGGUGAGAAGCCUAAGGCGUGUCGGGGGUAACCCAGCCGAGGGAACUCGGCAAAUUGGCCCUGUAACUUCGGGAGAAGGGGUGCCUGCGGUUGUGUAAACCGCAGGUCGCAGUGACUAGGGGGGCCCGACUGUUUAGUAAAAACACAGGUCCCAGCUAGCCCGAAAGGGUUUGUACUGGGGCCGACGCCUGCCCAGUGCCGGUACGUGAAGCCCGGGUUCAACCGGGUGAAGCGCCGGUAAACGGCGGGGGUAACUAUAACCCUCUUAAGGUAGCGAAAUUCCUUGUCGGUUAAAUGCCGACCUGCAUGAAUGGCGUAACGAGGUCCCCACUGUCCCCGGCUGGGGCCCGGCGAAACCACUGCCUGGCCGCGUAUGCCAGGGACCCCCGGACGGAAGCGAAGACCCCAUGGAGCUUUACUGCAGCCUGCCGUUGCUGUACGGUUGGGGGUGCGCAGUGUAGGCGGGAGGCGUCGAAGCCCGUCCUCCGGGGCGGGUGGAGCCGGUCAUGAGACACCGCCCACUCUCAACCGUACAGCUAACCCUCGUUGGGGGGACAGCGGUAGGUGGGCAGUUUGGCUGGGGCGGCACACCUCCGAAAGGGUAUCGGAGGUGCCCUAAGGUCGGCUCAGGCGGGUCAGGAAUCCGCCGUAGAGUGUAAGGGCAAAAGCCGGCUUGACUGGACUCGUAACAGAGGCGGGUCCAGCCGCGAAAGCGUGGCCUAACGAACCCCAGAGCCUCCCCGGUGGGGGCCUGGGAUGACAGAAAAGCUACCCUGGGGAUAACAGAGUCGUCUCGGGCGAGAGCCCAUAUCGACCCCGAGGCUUGCUACCUCGCUGUCGGCUCUUCCCAUCCUGGUCCUGCAGCAGGGGCCAAGGGUGGGGGUGUUCACCCAUUAAAGGGGAACGUGAGCUGGGUUUAGACCGUCGUGAGACAGGUCGGAUGCUAUCCUCCGGGGGUGUUGGCCGCUUGAGGGGAAGGUGCCCUUAGUACGAGAGGAACAGGGUGCCGCGGCCUCUUGUCUACCGGUUGUCCGUGUAGGGCAGUGCCGGGCAGCUACGCCGUGUCCGAUAAGGCCUGAAAGCAUCUAAGGCCGAAGCGGUCCCCGAAAAUAAGCGGCCGUUCCCUGGGUGU
rnacentral:rRNA from 1 species